rnacentral:rRNA from 1 species
CCCUUAGAUGUUCUGGGCCGCACGCGCGCUACACUGAUACAUGCAACGAGUUUAUAACCUUGAUCUGACGGUCUGGGUAAUCUUCAAACUGUAUCGUGUUAGGGAUCGAUUCUUGCAAUUUUUAAUCGUAAACGAGGAAUUCCUAGUAAACGCAAGUCAUCAGCUUGCAUUGAUUACGUCCCUGCCCUUUGUACACACCGCCCGUCGACUCUACCGAUUGAAUGGUUCGGUGAAAGCUUUGGACUGUGGCAUUGUCCUUCAUUGGACUUCGCCGUAGGAAAUUGUUUAAACCUCAUCAUUUAGAGGAAGAAUAAGUCGUAACA